AUUGAACGCUGGCGGCAGGCUUAACACAUGCAAGUCGAGCGAGCGGCGGACGGGUGAGUAAUGUCUGGGAAACUGCCUGAUGGAGGGGGAUAACUACUGGAAACGGUAGCUAAUACCGCAUACCAUCAGAUGUGCCCAGAUGGGAUUAGCUAGUAGGUGGGGUAAUGGCUCACCUAGGCGACGAUCCCUAGCUGGUCUGAGAGGAUGACCAGCCAAAUUGGAACUGAGAAACGGUCCAGACUCUUACGGAAGGCAGCAUUGGGGAUUAUGGCACAAUGGGCGCAAGCCUGAUGCAGCCAUGCCGGGUGUGUGAAGAAGGCCUUCGGGUUGUAAAGCACGUUCAGCGAGGAGGCGUUACUCGCAGAAGAAGCACCGGCUAACUCCGUGCCAGCAGCCGCGGUAAUUC
rnacentral:rRNA from 1 species